rnacentral:sRNA from 1 species
UAACACAGAAAAAAACAACUCACGAGUAA